rnacentral:tRNA from 1 species
GCCCGGAUGGCACAAUGGUACUGCAUCCGCCUCGAAAGCGGAGUCCUCGGACAUCCAGGUUCGAUUCCUGGUCGGGGCG